rnacentral:ncRNA from 1 species
GAACGCCGUGUGCAGUAAAAGCUGCAUGCACGGUGUGAAGUGGGGGAAAACCCGGAGAUGACUUCAAACGGUUACCUAUCACUAU